rnacentral:rRNA from 1 species
UACAGAGGUCCCCGAGCGUUUGUUCGGAUUCAUUGGGCGUAAAGGGUGCGUAGGCGGCGGGGAAAGUCUGAUGUGAAAUCCUGGGGCUCAACCCUGGAACUGCAUUGGAUACUUCCUUGCUAGAGUACUGGAGAGGAAACUGGAAUUUACGGUGUAGCAGUGAAAUGCGUAGAGAUCGUAAGGAAGACCAGUGGCGAAGGCGAGUUUCUGGACAGUUACUGACGCUGAGGCACGAAGGCCAGGGGGAGCAAACGGG